rnacentral:rRNA from 1 species
GACAGAGGCCUCGAGCGUUAGGCGGAAUCACUGGGCUUAAAGCGUGUGUAGGCGGGCCCGUAAGUGUCUUGUGAAAUCCCACGGCUCAACCGUGGAACUGCUGGGCAUACUGCGGGUCUUGGGCCAACUAGGGGCAGCCGGAACAAGCGGUGGAGCGGUGAAAUGCGUAGAUAUCGCUUGGAACGCCGAAGGUGAAAACAGGUAGCUGGGGCUGUGCUGACACUGAGACACGAAAGCCAGGGGAGCGAACGGG